CCUCGGUUCCCUCAUGUUGACGUUCUGUCGGUUACUCCUCGGUUCCCUCAUGUUGACGUUCUGUCAGUCCCCUCACGUUGAUGUUCUGUCAGGUUUCUCCUCAGUUCCCUCAUGUUGACGUUCUGUCAGUUCCCUCAUGUUGACGUUCUGUCAGGUUUCUCCUCAGUUCCCUCAUGUUUACGUUCUGUCAGGUUCCUUCAUGUUGACAUUCUAUCAGGUUUCUCCUCAGUUCCCUCAUGUUGACGUUCUGUCAGGUUCCUUCAUGUUGACGUUCUAUCAGGUUUCUCCUCAGUUCCCUCAUGUUGACGUUCUGUCAGGUUCCUUCAUGUUGACGUUCAGUCAGGUUCCUCCUGGG
ensembl:lncRNA